CAGCCGCCGCGGUAAAACGUAGGCAGCGAGCGUUGUUCGGAAUUACUGGGCGUAAAGGGCGUGUAGGCGGCCUGGGGCGUCCCAUGUGAAAGGCCACGGCUCAACCGUGGAGGAGCGUGGGAUACGCUCAGGCUAGAGGGUGGGAGAGGGUGGUGGAAUUCCCGGAGUAGCGGUGAAAUGCGCAGAUACCGGGAGGAACGCCGAUGGCGAAGGCAGCCACCUGGUCCACUUCUGACGCUGAGGCGCGAAAGCGUGGGGAGCAAACCGGAUUAGAUACCCGCGUAGUCCCUGUCUCUUAUAC
rnacentral:rRNA from 1 species